rnacentral:rRNA from 1 species
UAAACGACUCUCGGCAACGGAUAUCUCGGCUCACGCAUCGAUGAAGAACGUAGCAAAAUGCGAUACUUGGUGUGAAUUGCAGAAUCCCGUGAACCAUCGAGUUUUUGAACGCAAGUUGCGCCCAAAGCCAUUCGGCNGAGGGCACGUCUGCCUGGGCGUCACGC